AUCCCAGGGCCCACAGGGCGCAGUGGCUCACGCCUGUAAUCCUAGCACUCUGGGAGGCUGAGGUGGGCAGAUCGCUCAAGGUCAGGAGUUUGAAACCAGCCUGAGCAAGAGACCCUGUCUCUACUAUAAAUAGAAAGAGAUUGGAUACAAAAAUGCGAUGACGACAGACGCUGUCUCUUUGCCGUAUCUACGGUGAGAAUGAAGACCAUUCUCAGCAAUCAGACUGUCGACAUUCCAGAAAAUGUGGACAUCACUCUUAAGGGACGCACAGUCAUCGUGAAGGGUCCCAGAGGGACCCUGCGGAGGGACUUCAAUCACAUCAAUGUAGAACUUAGUCUCCUUGGAAAGAAAAAGAAGAGGCUCCGGGUUGACCAAUGGUGGGGAAAUAGAAAGGAACUGGCUGCUGUUGGCACUGUUUGUAGUCAUGUACAGAACAUGGUCAAGGGUGUCACACUGGGUUUCUGUUACAAGAUGAGGUCUGUGUAUGCUCCCUUCCCCAUCAACGUUGUUAUCCAGGAGAAUGGGUCUCUUGUUGAAAUACGGAAUUUCUCAGGUGAAAAAUACAUCCGCAGGGCUCGGACGAGGCCAGGCGUUGCUCGUUCAGUAUCUCAAGCACAGAAAGAUGAGUUGAUCCUCGAAGGAAAUGACAUUGAGCUUGUUUCAAAUUCGGCUGCUUUGAUUCAGCAGGCCACAGCAGUUAAAAACAAGGAUAUCAGAAAAUUUUGGGAUGGUAUCUAUGUCUCUGAAAAAGGAGCAGUUCAGCAGGCUGAUGAAUAAGAUCUAAGAGGUGAGUUGUCCAGCCACAUGAAGACACCACAUGAUUACUAAGAUGUAUUUGUAAUUUUGAUGGUGCAAUA